rnacentral:autocatalytically_spliced_intron from 1 species
GAGUGCGGAAUGCUUGGAAACUGGCACGUUCCGUGUGGAGCAGGGGAAAAGCAGGAGAUAACCCUAAACGCUUAUCAAUUGCUAA